GAUUUGGAAACCCAUUAAAUUCAAUAAAAUGUCUAUCGUCUGUGUUGUAUCGGAUUUGAUCAGACCAAUUGGUUCGAUCCCAAGACCGGUGAUGCCAUGGCCGGCUACAACGUUACCGACUUACCGUUAUUCACUAGAAAGGCUUUUGUUUCAUUAAACUCGGCAUCAAUCCUUCCCCCACCUAGUAUACAACAUUUUCAGUACUUUACAUUCCUCAACCUGGUUUUGUCUUGACUAGGAGAUAAAUAAAUACAUUUCCAUCGAAAUACAAGAUACCUUAAAAACAGAGGCCCGUGGGCUGAAGAAGCCCAAAACUGAAAAAGGAUGGUCUUUGUUUGUAUGGUCCAAUACCCCAAAACCAGAUCCGGUUUUCUAAUCCGAUCCGACGGCCGAAACAUUCGUCAUAUGAUUUCGUACCGGCGAAUCUCGCCGCCGUUAAACCUCUCAGACUUGUACUCGCCGGUGGACAUCCAAGGAGUCAAGUCUCCUCCUCCCAUGGUGGUUUCUCCCUCCAAUGCCCAUCAGUAACCCUCAGAAACGGCCCAUCUGUGUCGCGCGAUCGUUUCUCAGCAGCCACGCCGCCAAGGAAGAGCUCUCUCAAGCGGUGUCUCGUCUCGAGUCCCUCACGAAGCAAGGGAUUCGCUUACCCUUCCAAGUCCUCGCCUCUCUCCUCCAGCGCUGCGGAGACACGAGGUCCUUGAGACAAGGCAAAUGGAUUCAUCGCCACUUGAAGAUCACCGGAUUCAAGACCACCCCCAACACGCUUUUAUCCAAUCAUCUGAUCGGAAUGUACAUGAAAUGCGGUAAACCCGUAGACGCACGCAAAGUGUUCGACAAAAUGCAUUUCAGAAACUUGUACUCGUGGAACAAUAUGAUCUCCGGGUACGUUAAAUCGGGGAUGUUGACUCGUGCGCGGGUGGUGUUCGACGGUAUGCCUGAGAGGGAUGUCGUCUCGUGGAACACGAUGGUGAUUGGUUACGCUCAGAGUGGGAAUCUAAACGAGGCUCUGUGGUUUUAUAGAGAGCUGAGGAGAUCUGGGAUCAAGUUCAACGAGUUCAGCUUCGCGGGGGUUUUGACUGCUUGUGUGAAAUCGAGGGAGCUCGGGCUUAACCGGCAAGCUCACGGGCAGGUUCUUGUUGCUGGGUUUUUAUCAAAUGUGGUGCUUUCGUGUUCUAUCAUCGAUGCUUAUGCUAAAUGUGGUCAGAUGGAGAGCGCUAGAAGACGUUUCGAUGAGAUGGUAGUGAAGGAUAAUUAUAUUUGGACUACUCUCAUCUCUGGAUACGCCAAACUAGGUGAUAUGGAAUCGGCUAACGAGUUAUUCACGAAGAUGCCAGAGAAAAAUCCAGUUUCUUGGACUGCAUUAAUUGCUGGAUAUGUUAGACAAGGCUCAGGGGACCACGCGCUCGACUUGUUUAGAAAAAUGAUUGCUUUGAGGGUUAAACCAGAGCAGUUUACUUUCAGCAGCUGUCUCUGCGCCUCUGCGUCUCUUAGACACGGGAAGCAGAUUCAUGGGUACAUGAUCCGUACGAAUGUUGUACCCAAUGCGAUUGUUGUUAGUUCUUUGAUCGAUAUGCACUCCAGAUCAGGGAGUUUAGAGUCCAGCGAGCGAGUUUUCAAUCUUUACGGUGAUGACAAGCGAGACUGUGUCCUGUGGAAUACGAUGAUUUCCGCGUUAGCGCAUCACGGGCGUGGCCACAAGGCCUUGCGCAUGGUUGAUGAGAUGAUCAAGAUCGGAGUUAAUCCGAACCGGACGACUCUGGUUGUGAUUCUCAGUGCCUGCAGUCACUCAGGUCUGGUGGAGGAAGGAGUCAGGUGGUUUGAUUCAAUGACUGUUGAUUACGGGAUCGUUCCCGACCAAGAACAUUACGCAUGUCUGAUAGAUCUCCUAGGUCGUGCUGGUUGUUUUAAAGAGUUGAUGAGCAGGAUGGAGAAAAUGCCUUUUAAACCGGACGAGCAUAUCUGGAAUGCGAUCCUAGGAGUAUCAAGGAUCCAUGGGAAUGUAGAAUUGGGAAAGAGAGCAGCGGAAGAGCUGAUCAGACUGGACCCUGAGUCGUCUGCGCCAUACGUAUUACUGUCGAGCAUUCACGCAGAUCAGGGAAACUGGGAACCAGUAGAGAAGCUGAGAGGGGAUAUGAAGAAGAGAAGGGUGAACAAAGAGAAAGCUCGUAGUUGGAUUGGAAUCGGGGAGAAAGUUGAAACUUUCACAGUCUCAGACGGGUGGCAUCACCCUCGUAAAGAAGAGAUCUACUCCGUUCUGCACAAUCUGGCUGCUCUAAUGGAAAAAGAAGAGGCUUCAAGAACAUGAUCCGCUCUAACAAGAAGGGAGGAUUGUACACUGUUAAAGCCUGCAAAAGCAGGGGAGUUAUACGUGUUGUGAUGAUUUGAUUUUUAGCUUCAAAAGUUUUGCAGUUUGAUUCGUAUUGGCUGAGUUAUUACAAAAGAAUGGAGAUGGCAGGUGAGCAAGAAAUGAGAAAAUAAAAGACAGACGACCAAUAACCCGGUUUUGUCUACUUGUGAAGUUUGCAUGGACCAAUGUGUUGUGCAAUUUACAAACCGGAGAUU